UUAUCGUUUAAGCAUAUAACAUUUAUAUGAGACGGCUCAAACAAUAAUGUAUGCCCUUUAUAUGUUAAACUGGAUUAGUUUAACAUGUGAAAUGUCCGUAAAGUAUCAUCAUAUGAUUGGCUUUAGGGCACAUUUCCAACAUUUUGUCCACCAAAGCUCCUCCCGCUGAGGCAUCUAGCAUCUGACGUUCUAUUGGUAGAAGCCCUUCCUAGAAAUAUUGAAGAAGAAGUUCCUCCUUCAUUUGAUGUUGUGGGCAUGAAGCAACAAGGUUUUUAAAACAUUCAUAGUAAGUGGGAAAGGAUUCACCUUGGUUUUGCUGAAUGCCACUAAUCCUUUUGCGUAGUAGAAUGACUCAAGAAGUUGGGAAAAACUUCUCCAAAAAUGCCCGUUUCAUACUCUCCCAUGAUGUGACAGUUCCGGGGGCUAGUUCAUACAACCAAUCUUUAGCCUUUUCCAAGAGAGAAAAGGGAAAAGCCUUCAUUUUCAGAAUGCUCCCAUCAACAUUCACAGGGGUCAUGCUUUAACAAACAACCUCAAACUCCUUCAAAUGUUUAUUGAUACGAAAAUUAACUUAACACACAAAUUAAACCCUCUUCUUGACAAUUGUAGUAUGGAUAAGUAGGGAUCGUUCUGGACAGGGGAUUAGGAGGGAUUGCUAAUCUACUCUAAACUGACUUAGAAACACAAAAAUAAACUUAAAAACACUUAACAAGACUCACAAGACUCUACUAACACAAGUUUUAGACGAAAAUUGAUUAUAUCUUGACUCAAAACACUUAAAAACACAAUCUAAAACAAGUUCUAACUAAUAUGACUCAAUAUAGUAAAGGGGAUUUUGGUUUUGGACGAAAAUAAGGAAAACAAAGCAAGAAUUAAAACUAAACAGAUUUGCACGAAAUUUGUGAAAGAAAAAUUUUGUCCUAGCUAAGAACAAGUAUGAACAUUUGAAUACAUAUGCAAGCUAUUAACACUUUAAAGUAGACAUGCAUCCAAAAACAAUUCAUAAAACCCAUGACUUU
rnacentral:lncRNA from 1 species